rnacentral:rRNA from 1 species
AGUGAACGCUGGCGGUAGGCCUAACACAUGCAAGUCGAACGGCAGCACAGGAGAGCUUGCUCUCUGGGUGGCGAGUGGCGGACGGGUGAGGAAUACAUCGGAAUCUACUUUUUCGUGGGGGAUAACGUAGGGAAACUUACGCUAAUACCGCAUACGACCUACGGGUGAAAGCAGGGGAUCUUCGGACCUUGCGCGAUUGAACGAGCCGAUGUCGGAUUAGCUAGUUGGCGGGGUAAAGGCCCACCAAGGCGACGAUCCGUAGCUGGUCUGAGAAGAUGAUCAGCCACACUGGAACUGAGACACGGUCCAGACUACUACGGGAGGCAGCAGUGGGGAAUAGUGGACAAUGGGCGCAAGCCUGAUCCAGCCAUACCGCGUGGGUGAAGAAGGCCUUCGGGUUGUAAAGCCCUUUUGUUGGGAAAGAAAUCCAGCUGGUUAAUACCCGGUUGGGAUGACGGUACCCAAAGAAUAAGCACCGGCUAACUUCGUGCCAGCCGCCGCGGUAA